rnacentral:rRNA from 1 species
AACGAACGCUGGCGGCAGGCCUAACACAUGCAAGUCGAACGCCGUAGCAAUACGGAGUGGCAGACGGGUGAGUAACACGUGGGAACGUACCCUUCGGUUCGGAAUAACUCAGGGAAACUUGAGCUAAUACCGGAUACGUCCGAGAGGAGAAAGAUUUAUCGCCGAGGGAUCGGCCCCGCGUCUGAUUAGCUUGUUGGUGAGGUAACGGCUCACCAAGGCGACGAUCAGUAACUGGUCGAGAGGAUGAUCAGCCACAUUGGGACUGAGACAC